rnacentral:rRNA from 1 species
AAACUAACAAGGAUUCCCCUGGUAGCGGCGAGUGAAGAGGGAAGAGCCCAAGAUUGAAAGCUGGCGUCUUCGGCGUCCGCAUUGUAAUCUCAAGAAGUGUUUUCCGCUUCGGACCAAGCCUAAGUCCCUUGGAAAAGGGCAUCAUAGAGGGUGAUAAUCCCGUACAUGGCUUGGAGCGCCCGAGGCUUUGUGAUACGCUUUCUAAGAGUCGAGUUGUUUGGGAAUGCAGCUCAAAAUGGGUGGUAAAUGCCAUCUAAGGCUAAAUAUUGGGGAGAGACCGAUAGCGAACAAGUACAGUGAUGGAAAGAUGAAAAGAACUUUGAAAAGAGAGUUAAACAGUACGUGAAAUUGCCAAAAGGGAAGGGUAGGAGGUCAGAGAUGCGGCCUGGGAUUCAGCCUUGCUUUUGCUUGGUGUUUUUCCCAGAUUGCAGGCCAACGUCGGUUUUGGGCACUGGAGAAGGGUAGGAGGAACGUGGCACCCCUCGGGGUGUGUUAUAGCCUCCUACUGGAUACAGCGACCGAGACCGAGGAAAGCAGCGUACUCGUAAGAGCGGGCCCUCGGGUACCUUUACGCUUAG